rnacentral:rRNA from 1 species
GAUGAACGCUGGCGGCGUGCCUAAUACAUGCAAGUCGAGCGAACAGACGAGGAGCUUGCUCCUUCGACGUGGGGGGGGGGGGGGGGGGAAACCGGAGGAAACCGACCUUUAAGACUGGGUAAAAUUCGGGAAAACGGGCUCAAACCCGGAAGAAUCUUCUGAUGCAAUGGGUGGGUUGGGAAAAUUUGGCUUUUGUGUAUUUACUGGUGGACCUUCGCCGUAUUAGCUAGUUGGUUAGGUAACGGGUUACCAAGGGAAAGAUACGUAGACGACCUGAGAGGGUGAUCGGCCACACUGGAACUGAGCCACGGUCCAGACCACUAAGGGAGGCAGCAGUAGGGAAUCUGCCGCAAUGGGCGAAAGCCUUACGGAGCAACGCCGCGUGAGUGAUGAAGGUCUUCGGAUCGUAAAACUCUGUUAUUAGUGAAGAACAAACGUGUAAGUAACUGUGCACGUCGUGACGGUACCUAAUCAGAAAGCCACGGCUAACUACGUG